GCUGGGCUUGGUAGCGUGAGCCUUUAACCCGAGUGGGAGCAUUAAGAUGGUGGAACAGUUGGGCUUGCCCUGACGGCCGGGCUUGGUAUGCUAUCUUCUGGCUUGCCCAUUUCAAGUGGUGAGUUGACGGAGGAGUCUCGACGAAGGUCGAGGCUUCUCUGUCCUUAGAUCGGAGGGUACCGCGUGAGGCUGGCUUCACAGAGCAGCGAAGACCUCCUCCUCUCUGCAGUGGAAGGAUAACGGGCCAGUGCAUCUUCAGUCCACUAGUGAACCACCAUCUUU
rnacentral:SRP_RNA from 1 species